CCUACGGGUGGCUGCAGUGAGGAAUAUUGGGCAAUGGCCGAGAGGCUGAACCAGCCAAGUCGCGUGAGGGAAGACGGCCCUACGGGUUGUAAACCUCUUUUGUCGGGGAGCAAAGCGAACCACGUGUGGUUCAUUGAGAGUACCCGAAGAAAAAGCAUCGGCUAACACCGUGCCAGCAGCCGCGGUAAUACGGAGGAUGCGAGCGUUAUCCGGAUUUAUUGGGUUAAAAGGGUGCGCAGGGGGAGGUGCAAGGCAGUGGUCAAAUUGCGGGGCUCAACCCCGUACUGCCGUUGAAACUGCAUCCCUUGAGUGCGCGGGAAGUAUGCGGAAUGCGUGGUGUAGCGGUGAAAUGCAUAGAUAUCACGCAGAACUCCGAUUGCGAAGGCAGCAUACCGGCGCGCAACUGACGCUCAUGCACGAAAGCGUGGGUAUCGAACAGGAUUAGAUACCCGAGUAGUC
rnacentral:rRNA from 1 species